GCGCCGGUGGUAUAAGGCGAACACCGCUGCCCGGAAAGCAGAAGAUGCGGGUUCGAGCCCCGCCUGGCGCA
rfam:Heligmosomoides polygyrus genome assembly, scaffold: HPBE_scaffold0000925